UAUAGAACAUUUUAAUAAUCUAAAGUAAGUUUUUAUUUUAUUUUACUAUAAAUAACCUUUUGUGUAAUGGAAAGUUCUUCAUGGAAACAUAGAUGCCAACAAGGGACCUUUAUGAAGAGUGUAUGAGGACGUGAAGAGAAUACAGUGGUGUGUCAGAGCAGGCUCCCUUCCAGCUCUCUUAUUAAAACCCUCUGUGGCCCUUCUGGGCUUCCGUAUGCCAAUUGUGUGACAUUACGGCGCUGCUCUUGCUUUCCUCAUUAAACUCUCUGCCCUGGAUUUCAAGCCCGACCCACUAAUCUUUAUGAGGAAAUGAGGGGGUUUCUAAUGGAAACACUUGGCAAACAGAGCAGCCUACUGUCCAAGUUAUUUUGAGGAGCAUUUCAUCUAUGACUGACUGAUCAUCCUCAUCUGAAAUAUGAAGAAUAUUCCACAUACCACUAAAUGCACUUCAAAGAAGCAAUAUAUCCAUGCACAUCGUUAAAUAAAAUGUUACUAUUUUUCUAUUUUAGAAGAGGGAACUCUAUGCACCAUGAAACCAGUGCUGCUCUCCAGCACUCUGUGUGCAACUGCCAUGCUGACAGAUGGCACUGCCCAGGAUGUUGGUUUCAUGCCAUGUCACAGUCUUUAGAGAGACGAAAGCUGUUCUGUCUGUUCAAAGUGAACAAAGGCUUAACAACAAAAAACAUCACUGUAUUAACAAAGCUAAAGGGCUUAUCCGAACAAAACACACUGUUAGAGGUUUCAGAGAGUGUCACGCCAAGAGAAUCAGUGCAAAUGAGGAGAUGAAGCAUGGUAAGAUGACGAAAGAGAGAGAAAGAUGAAGGAAAGGUUGAACAGAAAGAAACUGGAAAAGGAGAACGAAAAGAGAAUAAGAAUGAGAGUAAAGGUAAGAUGAAGUUCAAGCUGACCUUUCAUUGACCUUUCAUAAGAGUGGCCUACGGGUAAAUCCAGCUAAUGAUGCGUCAGCACCAAUGAAUCCACAGUAUACACACAAUACAAACACAGACUUAAACACCCCCUGCAGUACAUUACCAUCAGCUGUCACCCUCAGUGCACCAGACCUUUGCUUCUGGAAAUAAAACGACAGGAUUUGCUUCUGUAUGCAGCAUUUUAAGACAUCAAAAUUUCAAGUUUUAUGAAUGUGACUAACAAAAAUAUAAACUAUUAACCCCUAAGCAUUCCUGUAAAAUUUGCCUAAAUCUCUGUUCAACAUUGGGUUCUUAAUAAAUUAAUAACUGGAAUACAAAAAACAAAAAAAACCAGUUUGGAAUGAUUUGAUUAAACACAGAGCUAGAUUUGAACUGAAGUGUAAUUGAAAUAACUAGUGAAACGUUACACCCAGCUACACCCAGAAUACCUUUGGCCAUGCUGUUGGAUUCCAUCGUUGGGUCAGUGGGAGGAUCUUACAACUUUGUAUGCAUCUUUCAUGGAGAAGGCAAUCCCAUAAUGCACUGCAAUAAGCUCAAUGAAGAAUUUGUUCAAGAUGGUAGACAUCGUGAACAUUUACAAAUAAACUUAGAAUUCACACAGUGUCUAAAAAUAUUGAUUUAUU
ensembl:lncRNA